UUUCCUUUAUGCAAUGGACAUGAGUAAGAAGUUUCAGAAUUAUUCUAUUCCUGUACAGAUUAUGUACGCUUUGAUUAUCAACAUGUUAGCUCAGAUAUAUAUUCUGUUAAGUUGAUUUCUAAAUGGUUAUACAAGUGUCCCCACUUGGAUAAUCAUGGCAUUUAUUCACAUGUUGAUAUACCUUUGUCAAUUACCCGUAUACAUAUAUGUUGAAUUACAUAUUAUUGUUGAGCAAGAUUAAAAACCUUCGGGUUUGGAACCAGGCAUGUAUGAACAUCCCGAUAAUGGGAAAAUUUUUAUGCGCUUCGGCGGACAAAGGGUGAGCGAUGAAUUUCGUUCAAGUUAUGUAGUAUUGAUCAAUACAGGGUACAACGGGGCUGAUCACCCUCCGUGCCCGUAAGUUAUGACGGUUUGCGGAUGAAUUUCUGCUAAACCUUUUCGAAAAUGAAAAACAAUGUUCAUAGUAUGUUUCUUAAACCCUAUUCAUGGGUGGAGCCUAAUUUCAAGAAAUUGAAAGAGAGUUGUUAUGUGAAUCUUUUAUCAGUACAGAUUACUUCACAACUUUUGAUUCGUUGUAGAAGUGUUAUGUAAAGAGAAUACUUAUAUUCUUUCAGCUUAUAUAUAUAAUUGUUAUUACUUGCUGGGCACUCAAAUGCUCAUCCUUGCUUAAACUAAAUGUUUUCAGUUACCUACGAUCGACCUGAAGGCUCAGGCACGAACAAGGGAAAAGAAAAGCUGUUCGAAUGAGAAUUAGUAUGAGUUAAUGGUUAUAGUUAGUAAGACAAUGGAAUCUAUUGUCAGGUAUUUUAAGGAAUGUAUUUUGAAGGUCACGUACCUGGGAAAGUAAACUUUGAUGUAUGUAAAUUAAGUUC
rnacentral:lncRNA from 1 species